rnacentral:rRNA from 1 species
GAUGAACGCUGGCGGCGUGCCUAAUACGUGCAAGUCGAGCGAACGGACGAGAAGCUUGCUUCUCUGAUGUUAGCGGCGGACGGGUGAGUAACACGUGGAUAACCUACCUAUAAGACUGGGAUAACUUCGGGAAACCGGAGCUAAUACCGGAUAAUAUUUUGAACCGCAUGGUUCAAAAGUGAAAGACGGUCUUGCUGUCACUUAUAGAUGGAUCCGCGCUGCAUUAGCUAGUUGGUAAGGUAACGGCUUACCAAGGCAACGAUGCAUAGCCGACCUGAGAGGGUGGUCGGACACACUGGAACUGAGACACGGUCCAGACUCCUACGGGAGGCAGCAGUGGGGAAUCUUCCGCAAUGGGCGAAAGCCUGACGGAGCAACGCCGCGUGAGUGAUGAAGGUCUUCGGAUCGUAAAACUCUGUUAUUAGGGAAGAACAUAUGUGUAAGUAACUGUGCACAUCUUGACGGUACCUAAUCAGAAAGCCACGGCUAACUACGUG